rnacentral:rRNA from 1 species
UACGUAGGGACCAAGCGUUGUUCGGAUUUACUGGGCGUAAAGCGCGCGUAGGCGGACCUGCAAGUCGGGGGUGAAAGCCCGAGGCUCAACCUCGGAACUGCCUUCGAUACUGCGGGUCUCGAGUCCGGGAGAGGUGAGUGGAAUUCCUAGUGUAGAGGUGAAAUUCGUAGAUAUUAGGAAGAACACCAGUGGCGAAGGCGGCGCACUGGCCCGGUACUGACGCUGAGACACGAAAGCGUGGGGAGCAAACAGGG